AUGCUGAUUAUCAACCGAUUAACCUUUGCUUUUUUUGUGAACCGCAUCUAUUCAAUGUCUGCAUUUGAUUUUGUUUUAUUUUUUUUCCAGGCUGGAAGGAUUAUCCUGUUGCAUUGUAAACAACCACUAAACCUUCUAAAGAGAUUUCUCAUCUGCACUGUUUUGCUGGUAGUGAUGAAAUGGAUAUCUGUGGAAAUAUUCCCUUUUUGGAAUAUUGGAUGAUGAGACUGAAGGAUGACUAAUAAUACCUGCACUUAAAUGAUCCCAUUACCGUAUCCUGAAUCCUAAAUUAGAUCUUCCCUACUACCUCCUCUCUAGGUCAGUAUUAUUCCUGUGAUAUUCAUGUAGAAAGUUUGUUGUUGUUUUUUAUUUAAUGUAAAAAAUAAUCUAACAAGUUGGUUCA
rnacentral:lncRNA from 1 species